rnacentral:rRNA from 1 species
UUAUUGGAGAGUUUGAUCCUGGCUCAGGACGAACGCUGGCGGCAUGCCUAAUACAUGCAAGUCGAGCGGAGUUGAUAGGAAGCUUGCUUCCUUGAUACUUAGCGGCGGACGGGUGAGUAACACGUAGGCAACCUGCCCUCAAGUUUGGGACAACUACCGGAAACGGUAGCUAAUACCGAAUAGUUGUUUUCUUCGCCUGAAGGAAACUG